rnacentral:rRNA from 1 species
GAUCCCAUCAGAACUCCGAAGUUAAGCGUGCUUGGGCGAGAGUAGUACUAGGAUGGGUGACCCUCUGGGAAGUCCUCGUGUUGCACCC